GCUCGCAGAGCAGAGCAUUGCUGUGCAGACUCUGCUCGGAGCAGCAAUGUCUCCACUCUUUUGUCAUUUAAAAUUUUGGCUUUUAUGGGGAUGAUCUGUGCAGCUUGGAUUAACAAAAACGAGGUUUCCGGGAAAUAUCAUUGGAACUGGAAGGAAUGGUUUCUUGAAGGGUGCUGGCUUCAUCCUCCUCAACAGCAUGACCGGCUGUUUGUGACCUGCGUGCUAAAUCAAGUUCAAAGAGGACCACUGGCGUUUGGCAGAUAGUUUUACACGAGGGCAGGGGGAGAACCAUUUGUUUGGUCAACCUCUAGCUCCCCCUUUGAUUCGGGACUAUCUCUGACCCCCCCGACCUCCAGCAGGCAGAGUGACACCGCUAAGAACUGUUCAUGCUGCUGCUGUAAUGAAGUUCAUAACGUCUGCAGAAUGAUGUUUGCUUUUAUUUUUAAUGCCCAGUUAAUUAAAAAUGUCGAGUUUUCUUACUGUAAUGCACAGAGCACUUUGAAAAUCUUUAUCAGCACAAAAGAUAAUAAACUGUAACAAGGAAAGCAUAUGUUGGACAUUUUUGGGUGGUAAACUAGUUUUUUUUUAACAUUUUAAAACCAUCAUGCUUGUAGUAUUUGUAUAUUGUAAGGCUGAGGGUGCAUGACCUGCAGGAUCAGAUUGGAGAGUCUAAAUGAAAAAUAUUACUGAUAUGUAAUCUGUAAGAUGAUUUUCUUUUUACUAUUUUUGUCAAAUUUAAGCUAAAUAUGUAACAGCAUCUUAAAUGUAAACUGUUGUAUUUGAACACUGCACAUUUUUCCAUGGAACUGCACAAAUAACUCAAAAGUUGUCAGAAAAAAAACAUUAUUUGUAUCACAAAUGUAUAAUGUCACAUUUUAAUUGGAUGUUUGCUAUGUUAUUGGAAAAAGUUAAUAAAAUGUCUAAAUUAAA